rnacentral:piRNA from 1 species
UGCCAAGGCAAGAAAUGAGUUAUCUGCAA